rnacentral:lncRNA from 1 species
UUCUACAUAAGUCCAAUUACGAUUGCUUAACAUAACACUAAAUUUUUGACACAAAAAGCAUAACAUUCUAGUUAGUGAGAUUGUAAGUCUCCCCUCUUUCAUGGUAUUAUAUGGAAACUUGGCCUCUUUUCCUUCCUUUGGAAGAUGUCUUGGCUUAAGGAUCCAUGCUUGUGAUAAGUGGGUUGAGUGUUCUCCAAAGAAUGACUUAAAAAAAACAAAAGCAAAAUAAUACUAACUU